AAAGAAAGCAACUUCUUUUGAGAAGGAAUUUUGAAGCAAAAGCAAAAUACAUACAAAAGAAAACGAAGUUUUGGAUUAAAGAGAAGAAUAUAGAAAAUGAGAAACAUGGGAAGCAUGGGAAGCAGUGCAAGGCUAUCAAUGGAAGAAAAUGAAGAAAAUGAAGAAAAGAGUUCAAAAUUUAACAUAGCCACAUUUCAAGCUAGAGAAGAGGAGGUUGAGCGGAAGAAGAUGGAAGUGAAGGAAAAAGUUGAAGUUCAGUUAGGUCGAGCCGAAGAAGAAGCUAAGCGCUUGACUCAGAUUUGGGAAGAGCUUGAAGUAAUGGCUGAUCCUAUGAGAAAAGAAGUUGGAUAUAUACGUAAGAAGAUUGACAUGAUUAAUAGAGACCUGAAGCCACUGGGUCUGAGCUGCCAAAAGAAGGAGAAAGA
rnacentral:misc_RNA from 1 species